rnacentral:lncRNA from 1 species
AGUGAUGAGGGCAGGAGUCAGGGACCCUGGCCACAGUGAGGCGCCUCCUGGUGCUGCUGGGAGGGUCUCCAGCCUGUUGGUCCAGACCUGAGGUUUGUCUCCUGCACCUGUUCUGAGCAUACUCUGCCUAUCUGAGGCUGUUUAAUCCUUUAUGAUGGUUUAAAAUAUGUCCACCAAUUCUUUGGUGCUCCCUUUAAAAGGUGGAGCCCAAUUUUUCUCCCUUGACUGUGGGCUGGACUUAGAGAUUUGCUUCUAACAAAUAGAAUAAGAUAGGAGUGAAGGUGUGACUCCUGAGAUGAGGUCAUAAAUGUAUUGUGGCUUUCCUCUGGCUCUGGGGAGGCCGCUACCAUGUCCUGACACUCAAGCAGCCUUGUAGGAAGCUCAUGUGGGGAAGAGCUGAGGCCACCUGCCCACAGCCCUGGGAGUCAGCCACCUUGGAAGUGAAUCUUCUAGCCCCAGUCAAGCUUUUAGAUGCCUGAGCCCCAACCAGCAUCUUGACUGGAAACACACGAGAGGACUUGAACCAGAGCCACCCUGCUAAGCAUCUCUCAAAUUUUUGACCCACCCAAACUAUGAGAUAAUAAGCAUUUUUUGUUUGUUUGUUUAAGCCACUAAGUUUCGAGUUAUUUGUUACACAGUGAUAGAUAACUAAUGCACUCCUACAUCUGUUUUCUUCCUCAGGCAUUUGGCAUUUUGCGGGAAAGGGUUUUAAAUCAUUUUCCAAUUUCUGCUAAGGAUUUGCAUGGAAAAGUGGAAGUCCAGCAGGGGAAAUUUUUAGGCUAGAAGUCAGGAAGUUUUAACCCUGAUUUUGCAUAUGCAUGGGAUCCUGUGGAAUUUGCCCAGUUUUUUUUUUUUUUUUUUCUUUUUAUGGAUGUACCUGCAGCAUAUGGAAAUCUCCAAGCUAGGGGUCGAAUCAGAGCUGCAGCUGAGGCUUAUGCCACAGUCAUGGCAACAUCAGAUCUGAGCCGCAUCUGUGACCUAUGCUGUAGCUUACCCCAACGUCUGUUCCUUAACCCACUGAGAGAGGCCGGGAGUCAAACCUGCAUUCUCACAGAGACUAUGUCGGAUCCUUAACCUGCUGAGCCACAAUGGGAGCUCCUGCCCAAUUUCUUUAUCCUUUUGAAUCAUUGUGAUCUCAUCUGCGAAAUGGGGCUAAUAGUGUUUGUCCUGUGUGCUUACAAGAUUGUUUUAAGGGUCAUAAAUGUGAAAUAUUUCAUAAAUAAUAAAACGCUUUACACACAUGUGGAUUAAAAUGUUGGGAUUAAACACGAACUAUGAUAGGAUUUAAGGUUCAUUCAUCAUAUGAGCUAUCCUUUUUUGGAAUAUUUACUCUAUUUAAAUCCUGACAAGUUCUAUGAAGGUUGGUGUUUCUGUCCUCAUUUUAGGAUUAAAGAACCAAGGCUCUCACAUUCACGUUGCCCCCAUUUACACCCUGAAGAAGCCAGAGACUUGCUCAUCUCCAUGAAUAGCCCUGGGCUCUGGCCCCUGAGUUCCUCUGCUGCUUCAUCCAUCUGCUAGCAGCCCGUCAAAGGCUCUGGGAGCUCAAUGCUCAAGAUCCUGACCAGUUCCUUUGUGGAGUGAGCCAGUUUAACACGCUUUAUGCUGGGUGUGUCCUAGGGGAGUGGGGACAAGGGCUCGAGGGGGCUAACUGACUCAGACCCCUCUCAGGAACCGUAAACCCAGGCCUCAUUGAAGGGGAAAAGGUGAUAGACCUGCAGGGGGAGGUCUGGUCGGUGUGAACUUAAAAGCCAGAUUUGCUACAUUUAAGUGGGUGAGGAGGAGCCUGCAGGGAGGUCCUGAUCCAUUAGCGCUCGGGGCCCUGCAAGGCCUUCAGACCACUUCCCCACUGGGCUGAGAGCCUGGCCCUCCCACCCCGAUUUCUUGUUUAGGGACAGGGGAGUUGCUUCAGGGAGUCAGGCCACACAGUCCAGAGCCAAGAGGCCAGCUGCCUUACAGACAAGUGCUGCCCUGCACGGCCUCCUGCCCCCGAUCGUCCGCUCCUGCAUCUGCCCUCUGUCCCCUUUGUGGGCCUGAUGUCUACCCGUAGAGCAGGAUUUUGGAGACUCUCCCCGGGCAUGCCCUGCUCAGGCCCCAGGGGAUCCUGCCUCUGGCCUCAUCCUGGUGCCUGGGCUGCAGUCAGCGAAUUCAUAUCCCUUUUGCCUUUUGAAAAGGAGGGUUCCUUUGCUUUUGUGUGGUCCAGGGAGGAAACCCUGCUCUCUCCCAGCCUCAGAGCCACAGGCAGCCUUGGGGGUGAGGUGGGGAUAGCCGCCCUUUGGGGAUUAUGGGGAGAAGGACACAGUGCAGAGGCUGGAGGCUGGGGGGAGGGUGGGGGCAGCCUGACGUCUCUCUGAGCCUGAGAAAUCUCUCCUGUUACUGCUUGUGGGCCCAGGCAAAUGAUCUCGUGGCUCUGGGAGUACCUGGUUGCCGCCCCGGCUCAGGAAGGUCAGGAAGCUGCUGAGUGGUCUUUUCCUCUCCCCUUGCCGUGUGUCUCUGAAGAUGAGUCAUUCUCUUUCCCCUCCCGCCUCCCCCACCUCCCGCCCUCCCUUCCCCACUCAGUCAUCGGAUCUGGGGUGGAAUCACAGCCCGGCCCGGCUAUCAGGGGCUCUCCAUGAGGGGUGGCCUCCCAGGUCCCUCAGCAGGGCAGGUGAGCCCCAUCCUAGGCCCGUGGGCCUUGGGGCUCAGCCUCCUUAGUCUAAUCCCCUGAAAUAACUAUCAAGUAGCUCCUAUGGGUCAAAUCCUCUGCUAGACACACAGGCGAUGAGGGGCCUGAGUCCUGCACUCACAGCACCUUGAGUUGAGUGGAGGAGAGGAAUGUUAAACAUGAAAUCACACAACGGACACGUCAUCCUAUGUAAUGAAUGCUGUGAUGUGUGUUAUCAGGAAAAAAGUGCAGGGAGCUUUGAGGAGGCAUGAGAAGCGCCUCAUGUGGGGUGAGGGAUGGUUAUAAGGCCCCCUGAGGAAGAAUAAGAUGAGACCUGGGAAGUUCCCAUCAUGGCUCAGUGCUAACAAGCCUGCCUAGUAUCCAUGAGGAUGAGGGUUCGAUCCCUGGCCUUGCUCAGUGGGUUAAGGAUCCCACAUUGCUGUGAGCCGUGGUGUAGGUCACAGAUGCGGCUCAGAUUCCACAUUGCUGUGGCUGUAGCGUAAGUUGACAGCUGCAGUUCCAAUUUGACCCCUCGCCUGGGAACUCCAUAUGCCGCAAGUGUGGCCCUAAAAAGCAAAAAAAAAAAAAAAAAAAAAAA